rnacentral:piRNA from 1 species
UGAGAUAACAAAUCGGGAAGGUGACAGAG